GGCAGGGCUUCCAUCUCACCCAGAGUGAACAAGAAAGCUCCCAGCGGCCCAGGCUUGGCCCCUUCCUCCGUGACCUGCCCCGCUUCCAGCUCUUACAAACCCCACUACCUGCUGACUCGGCUCCUCUUGCUGUUCCCUGAACAGGUGAGGGGAUUCUGGACUCGCUGUUCCUUUUUCCUAGAAUGCUCUUCCCCAGGUAGCCACAGGGCUCCUUCCCGCCCUCCUCGGAGUCUUUCUGACCACCUGUGAGACUGCAGUCCCUUCCCCAUCCCCAAUGCCACCUUUCUCCUCCUCUGAGACUCCUCCUCCUGCUAUGACUGACUUGGGUUUGCUCCUUAUCUGUCUCCGGCUGGAACUGCCCUGAGUAUAGGGAUUCAUUUCUCUUUUGUUCUAGGCCCUUGGCUUCUACAACCAGUUAGAUGAAUAUAUGGGGUUGGAGGAUGGUCCUGAGGCACCAAGCCAGCACAGCCCUGGAGGAGCAGCUUUCUCAGAAGAACUGAAAGACUUCCAGAGGUUCUGGAAGUCAGAUUUCUGUUCCAAUAGUAGACAAAGGAUGGCUUCUUCAUCCCAUCCAAAUGCUACAGGAAUAUACACAUGUGGGAAUCCCUACCAGCAUGACCAAGAGCUCAUCAGGGUGAGAGAUUUGUGUUGGUUUUCCGGAAAAUGGGAAGAGGAUUCUACUGAGCUGAUGCCUGAACCAGAUCAAAGAAGUCACAACCUAGAAGUGCCCCAGGAGAGAUCAGCAUAUUCAGAACGAUGGUACUAGCAAACAGAACUGCAAAUAGAAACAGUUAAAUGAUUUCUUCUGGGUAGUGAGUGGGCAUAAUCCAAAGACUUUUGAUUUAUUACCAUUCUCUUCUCUUUGCAUCUUUAUUUUGCAGCUGUCUACAGUACCUUCACACAUAGUCUCAAUAUAUUGUGAAGUCUUACAGAGGAAGACCUAAGGGAAGGGGAAGGGUCUGGAUGGGUGGUCAGGUAUGUAUGCAGAGGUAGGGUGGGGAAGGGGUGUGAGAACUGGAAUUCCAUUUCUCUCCUGUGGGUGUGUCUGGGAGUUUCUAAGAUCAAGGAGCCCAUGGCAUUGUACCAAGAUCAGUGUUCAUAGUACAAGUCCAGAUAAUUUUCAUAAGUGGAUACAAGGAGAAGAGCUAGAUAUGUCAAAUGGUAAGCUCCUCCCAUACACAGAAAGAAGAAAGGAAGAGGAAAGGAGGAAAGAAGAAAGGAAAAAAGAAAGAAAGGAAGGAAAUAAGAGGCAAGGAGGUGGGGAGCAAGGAAGGAAGGCAGG
rnacentral:lncRNA from 1 species